rnacentral:lncRNA from 1 species
CAGAGGACCGGGGACUGAGGAAGGAGGAGUGCGGGACCGCUCCCCGAAGGUGCCUCCUGCCGAGGCCACCGAGGCCGUCCUGGAGAGCGAAGGGGGUUUAAAUUUCUCCCUCCUCGCAAACUAAAGAACAACAUAAGUACAUCAAUAAAUCACGUAUUUUUCCUAUAAAAAAUAAAGUACAAUAGUACUUUAUUGAGUAAAAUAAAUAAAAAAAGUACUUUAAUGAGUAAAAUCAUUAAAAUUUCCUACAACACAGAGGAAGUAAGUGUUCAAGCAGUACCACCUAUACCAUCAUAUCAUUCUCUGAGUGCCAAUUUAACUAAAAUUAUGUCUUCUAGUAAGAGAAGUAAGAAAAUUCAGAAAGAUCACCAAAUAAGUAGUGUUUUGGGGGAGGGCACGUGUAGUAUUAAUAGCAUAGAAGAUACUAACUGUGGCACA